rnacentral:rRNA from 1 species
UACAGAGGGGGCAAGCGUUGUUCGGAAUUACUGGGCGUAAAGGGCGCGUAGGCGGCCUUCUAAGUCGAACGUGAAAUCCCCGGGCUCAACCCGGGAACUGCAUCCGAUACUGGGAGGCUUGAAUCCGGGAGAGGGAUGUGGAAUUCCAGGUGUAGCGGUGAAAUGCGUAGAUAUCUGGAGGAACACCGGUGGCGAAGGCGGCAUCCUGGACCAACACUGACGCUGAGGAGCGAAAGCCAGGGGAGCAAACGGG